rnacentral:rRNA from 1 species
GAGUUUGAUCAUGGCUCAGGACGAACGCUGGCGGCGUGCCUAACACAUGCAAGUCGAACGGAGAAUUUGUAGCAAUAUGAAUUCUUAGUGGCGAACGGGUGAGUAACGCGUGAGCAACCUGCCCUUCAGAGGGGGACAACAGCUGGAAACGGCUGCUAAUACCGCAUAACGUAUAUUUGCGGCAUCGCAGAUAUACCAAAGAUUUAUCGCUGAAGGAUGGGCUCGCGUCUGAUUAGAUAGUUGGUGAGGUAACGGCUCACCAAGUCAACGAUCAGUAGCCGGACUGAGAGGUUGAACGGCCACAUUGGGACUGAGAUACGGCCCAGACUCCUACGGGAGGCAGCAGUGGGGAAUAUUGGGCAAUGGGGGCAACCCUGACCCAGCAACGCCGCGUGAAGGAAGAAGGCUUUCGGGUUGUAAACUUCUUUGACGAGGGACGAAGAAAUGACGGUACUCGAAACACAAGGCCACCGGC